UGGCUGUCGUGGUCGAAUGGAGAUCUCCCGCAUCGGCUCUGUGUCUGUGGAUUGGGUAACAAAACCCCCAACCAGCGGAACCGGGAACGGUUGCAAGGUGCCUGGUUCGAAUCGCCGGGUCGCGAGAAUUUAUUAAUUAGAUUCUUCUCCCACACUCGUGCGAGUAAUCCACGACUUGGCUGUUGGCGCGCUAAGCAAUGGCCCGCAUCCUCGAGGGAAGCAAUUCUGCAGAGAACGGGCUCCCCGGCGAUGGCGGCACCAGAUCACACCGCCGCUGCACAGGCACGGACUCGAAUGGGAUGGUCGACUUUCUUUUUUU
rfam:Blastomyces gilchristii SLH14081 genomic scaffold supercont1.2, whole genome shotgun sequence.